rnacentral:rRNA from 1 species
UGAACGCUAGCGGCAGGCUUCAUACAUGCAAGUCGAGGGGCAGCAUAAAUUACUUGUAAUUUGAUGGCGACCGGCGAACGGGUGCGUAACGCGUAUGCAACUUACCUUUUACUAGAGAAUAGCCAAGAGAAAUUUUGAUUAAUGCUCUAUACACUUAUUAAUUCUCAUGAAUCUAUAAGAAAAGCUCCGGCGGUAAAAGAUGGGCAUGCGUCCUAUUAGCUUGUAGGUGAGGUAACGGCUCACCUAAGCUCCGAUAGGUAGGGGUCCUGAGAGGGAGAUCCCCCACACUGGUACUGAGACACGGACCAGACUUCUACGGAAGGCAGCAGUAAGGAAUAUUGGACAAUGGAGGCAACUCUGAUCCAGCCAUGCCGCGUGAAGGAAGACGGCCUUAUGGGUUGUAAACUUCUUUUAUACAGGAAGAAACCUUUCCACGUGUGGAAAGCUGACGGUACUGUAAGAAUAAGGAUCGG